GGCUCAGGACGAACGCUGGCGGCAUGCCUAACACAUGCAAGUCGAACGGGGGUAGCAAUACCCUAGUGGCGAACGGGUGAGUAACACAUAAGCAAUCUGCCCUUCACAGGGGGAUAACAGCGGGAAACUGCUGCUAAUACCGCAUAAGACCACGGUACCGCAUGGUACAGGGGUAAAAACGAAUCAGUGGUGAAGGAUGAGCUUAUGUCCCAUUAGCUAGUUGGUGAGAUAACAGCCCACCAAGGCGACGAUGGGUAGCCGACCUGAGAGGGUGAUCGGCCACACUGGAACUGAGACACGGUCCAGACUCCUACGGGAGGCAGCAGCGGGGAAUAUUGGGCAAUGGAGGAAACUCUCCACCCAGCAAUGCCGCGUGAGUGAAGAAGGUCUUCGGAUUGUAAAGCUCUUUGAUUGGGGACGAAUAAAUGACGGUACCCAAAGAACAAGCCCCGGCUAACUAUGUGCCAGCAGCCGC
rnacentral:rRNA from 1 species